AUCAACGCUGGCGGCGCGCUUAACACAUGCAAGUCGAACGAGAAAGGGAGCAAUCCUGAGUAAAGUGGCGCACUGGUGAGUAACACGUGGAUAUCUACCUCUUGGUGGGGAAUAACCUGGGGGAAACCUGGGCUAAUACCGCAUAAGUUCGGAAGAAGAAAGGCGCAAGCCGCCGAGAGAGGAGUCCGCGGUCGAUUAGGUAGUUGGCAGGGUAAAAGCCUACCAAGCCGAAGAUCGAUAGCCGGCCUGAGAGGGCACACGGCCACACUGGCACUGAAACACGGGCCAGACUCCUACGGGAGGCAGCAGUGGGGAAUCUUGCACAAUGGGGGAAACCCUGAUGCAGCGACGCCGCGUGAGCGAUGAAGCCCUUCGGGGUGUAAAGCUCUUUCGGCAGGAACGAUAAUGACGGUACCUGCAGAAGAAGCUGCGGCUAACUACGUGCCAGCAGCCGCGGUAAUACGUAGGCAGCAAGCGUUGUUCGGAAUUACUGGGCGUAAAGAGUGUGUAGGUGGUGUCGUAAGAUUGGUGUGAAAUCUCCCGGCUUAACUGGGAGGGUGCGCCGAAGACUGCGAUGCUGGAGUAUGGGAGAGGAAAGCGGAAUUCCUGGUGUAGCGGUGAUGAAUGAAAUGCGUAGAUAUCAGGAGGAACACCUGCGGUGUAGACGGCUUUCUGGACCAUUACUGACACUGAGACACGAAAGCGUGGGUAGCAAACAGGAUAGAUACCCUGGUAGUCCACGCCCUAAACGAUGCAUACUUGGUUGUGAGCCAUUCAGUUGGUUCGUGCCGGAGCUAACGCGUUAAGUAUGCCGCCUGGGGAGUACGGUCGCAAGGCUGAAACUCAAAGGAAAUUGACGGGGGCCCGCACAAGCGGUGGAGCAUGUGGUUCAAUUCGACCGCAACGCGAAGAACCUUACCUGGGCUCGAACGGGCUUCCGAACGUUCGUGGAAACACGGAUAUCCCGCAAGGGACUAAAGUCGAGGGUGCUGCAUGGCUGUCGUCAGCUCGUGUCGUGAGAUGUUGGGUUAAGUCCCGCAACGAGCGCAACCCUUGCCCUGUUUUGCCAUCAUUAAGUUGGGAACUAUCAGGGGACCGCCAGCGAUAAGUUGGAGGAAGGUGGGGAUGACGUCAAGUCAUCAUGGCCUUUAUGUCCAGGGCUACACACGUGCUACAAUGGGCGGUACAAAGCGCAGCGAAAACCGCGAGGUGGAGGCAAAUCGCAAAAAACCGUUCUCAGUUCGGAUCGCAGGCUGCAACUCGCCUGCGGUGAAGGCUGGAAUCGCUAGUAAUGGCAGAUCAGCAUGCUUGCCGUGAAUACGUUCCCGGGCCUUGUACACACCGCCCGUCACAUCACGAAAGUGGGUUGUACUAGAAGUCUGUGCGCUAACAGCAAUGGAGGCCACGGCCCAAGGUAUGACUCAUGAUUGGGGUG
rnacentral:rRNA from 1 species